GUCCCCGUAGCGCAGUGAAUAGCGCGCUGGACUUCUAAUCCAGAGGGUCGCGGGUUCGAAUCCCACCGGGAAUG
rnacentral:tRNA from 1 species